rnacentral:rRNA from 1 species
ACGGGGGGAGGAAAGUAGGGGAUCGUAGGACCUCGCGCUAUUGGAGCGGCCGAUGUCCGAUUAGCUAGUUGGUGGGGUAAUGGCCUACCAAGGCAACGAUCGGUAGCUGGUCUGAGAGGAUGAUCAGCCACACUGGGACUGAGACACGGCCCAGACUCCUACGGGAGGCAGCAGUGGAGAAUUUUGGACAAUGGGCGAAAGCCUGAUCCAGCCAUGCCGCGUGAGUGAAGAAGGCCUUCGGGUUGUAAAGCUCUUUCAGCCGGAAAGAAAUCGUGCAGGCUAAUAUCCUGCAUGGAUGACGGUACCGGAAGAAGAAGCACCGGCUAACUACGUGCCAGCAGCCGCGGUAAUACGUAGGGUGCGAGCGUUAAUCGGAAUUACUGGGCGUAAAGCGUGCGCAGGCGGUUUUGUAAGACAGACGUGAAAUCCCCGGGCUUAACCUGGGAACUGCGUUUGAAACUACAAAGCUAG